GGCUCAGACCAGACACCCUCUUCAUCAAAGUUACCUCACGCCCAGAAAUUAGAACCACUCACCAUAUCUAAGCUAAACAAUAUGUUAUCACAUCUGAGCCUCAGUUUUUGGUACUCAGACAGAUAAAGGAUGGUGUUAUAUUGGAUGCUUGAAAUGUUCAACAAAGCUACAGCGAGAGAUUUCUUCUUUCACAUGCCUUUUCUGUGAUAAAACCAACGCUGUGGCGGCUGCCCUCAUAUAACAAUACUUAAGCUCUGCUAUCCAUGAUAUUAUAGCUCCCUUCCAAAUAUUUCCUCACUCUAAAAUUCACUAUAUGUCUGUUACUCACUACAGGUACCGCGUGGAGCUGUCUGUAUCAGACCUGAAGGAUGAUGCUGUUUUUGUGGCCUUUGAUAUGGAAAUUGUAACGUUAACAAGCAUUCAAGCAUCUGAAGCUGCGCAAAUUUUGGUAUAGGUUCCUUCUUUCAAGCAUUUAAUUUUAACUAAUUAUCUUACUUCUGUGUAUAGCAAUGAAACCCACCUUAAUAUUUAUAUUAUAUCAAUGAUUAAAUUAUGUUUUCACUUAUCACUGAGUUCAGGGUACAUCUUAUAUAUAUAAAGUACACUUGUGCUCUCUGCACACAGCUCUCCACAUCAUCAGGAAGCAUGGAGCUUCUUCUGCAACGUGGCACUCCCAAACAAACGAACAAGGCUUUUAUUAAAUUUUGUUAUUAAGCCCAGAAUUAUGUCAAGUCCAAAAUUAUGUGAUUAGGGUUAUUCUUCUUCUUCGUCGUUCUUCUUCUUCCCUGCCUCUUGGCUGCCUCUUCCCUGCCUCUUUGCUCUGACAUUUAUUCUGAUUUUUCCAUUCAUUAAUCCACUCUUCAUGCAUUAUGAUUUCGAUCUACCUCUUCGUUCACCCUAUAACUGCCUCGAACUCCAUCUAUAAAUAUGGGCCCUCGCUUCCAUUCACAUCACAACUCAAACAAUUUACUCAAACAUACUAUCUCCUAGAAGCAACAUAUUCAGAUGGCGAUUAAAUCUCUUAUAGGGAAUUCUCGCCACUGCUCAUCGUUUUGCGAUCUGCCUUUCUAACCAUGUCACUCGAAAAGCCCCUACGAUUUGUUUUCUGACUGGUACUUGAAGAUAUAACUCUGGUGUAUUGACUUCAGAGUAAAUGGUCCUGGAAAAUAGGACAAACGAUAAAUGUAUGUGUGAGUUCUUCUAUGAUACAAGGUUCACCCAACUCAACACUUCCUUCCUUCAUCACAAAGUCUGAGUUAUAGAUAAGGAUGAGAAUUAGGAGAAGCACAAGCCAAGACCAAAACACUAAGGUUAUCUCUCUUUGAAAAACUCUUGCAGCAACGUCUCACCCAUUAGGUAUAUUGAAACCCAUUUUCGCCUUUGCUUAGAGCAUCGAACUUGAAGCUUGGAUUUUUUUGUUACCUUUCUUAUAGCUUUCUUAAGGUUCACACAACAACUUAAAGGAGAGCCAGUGCCACAAGAACUGCUAGACAGACUGUGCGAGCUCAUAGCUGUUCUUGCUGGUGGUGCAGCUGCAAAAUCUGAAGCAUUGAAGGAAGAAAUAUUAGCAAUGAGCCUUCUCGUAGAUAAUCCCUUAGCUAGCUGACAAUAACAAACAGCUACCCGGAAGAUGUUAUUGGUGAGCUAAGUACAAUCAGAAGAACGUUCAACACGACGGUAAAUACCGGAAAAUCGUAUAAUGGCAACUCUACGUAUAGAAAGGGAUUUUACUCUGUGUGUUAGGGACUGGCUCUUGCAUUCCAUAGAAAACUGGAGAGCUAUGAGUCGGAGCCCAAUGUUGUGCUAGCUACCAGCAUAAUUUCCAAGACAGUUGGAGGUUCGUCCAAAGAUUGAUAAGAUUGAGAGAAAGGGUUUAUGCAAAACCUUG